CCAUUGAUACUGGAUUUCUUGAAUCUAAUAGAAGUAGGCGGAAUAUGACAUGUAGCGGUGAAAUGCUUAGAUAUGUCAUAGAACACCGAUAGCGAAGGCAGCUUACUAUGUUAGUAUUGACGCUAAUGCACGAAAGCGUGGGGAGCGAACAGGAUUAGAUACCCUGGUAGUCCACGCCGUAAACGAUGAUUACUCGCUAUUGGCGAUACACUGUCAGUGGCUAAGCGAAAGUGAUAAGUAAUCCACCUGGGGAGUACGAUCGCAAGGUUGAAACUCAAAGGAAUUGACGGGGGCCCGCACAAGCGGUGGAGCAUGUGGUUUAAUUCGAUGAUACGCGAGGAACCUUACCAGGUCUUAAAUGCAUAACGAACGAUUGGGAAACCAAUCUUUCUUCGGACGGAAUGCAAGGUGCUGCAUGGUUGUCGUCAGCUCGUGCCGUGAGGUGUCAGGUUAAGUCCUAUAACGAGCGCAACCCCUAUUCUUAGUUGCCAGCGGUUCGGCCGGGGACUCUAAGAAAACUGCCAGUGCAAGCUGUGAGGAAGGUGGGGAUGACGUCAAAUCAUCACGGCCCUUACGACCUGGGCCACACACGUGCUACAAUGGUAGGUACAAAGGGCAGCCACUUGGUGACAAGGAGCUAAUCUCUAAAACCUAUCUCAGUUCGGAUUGGAGUCUGAAACUCGACUCUAUGAAGCUGGAAUCGCUAGUAAUCGCGCAUCAGCCAUGGCGCGGUGAAUACGUUCCCGGGCCUUGUACACACCGCCCGUCAAGCCAUGGAAGCUGGGAGUACCUGAAGUCGGUAACCAUUUAGGAGCUGCCUAGGGUAAAACUAGUAACUGGGGCUAAGUCGUAACAAGGUAGCCGUA
rnacentral:rRNA from 1 species